rnacentral:rRNA from 1 species
UCCUACGGGCGGCAGCAGUGAGGAAUAUUGGUCAAUGGGCGAGAGCCUGAACCAGCCAAGUCGCGUGAGGGAAGACGGUCCUAUGGAUUGUAAACCUCUUUUGUCGGGGAGCAAUGCCCGGCACGCGUGCCCGGACGGAGAGUACCCGAAGAAAAAGCAUCGGCUAACUCCGUGCCAGCAGCCGCGGUAAUACGGAGGAUGCGAGCGUUAUCCGGAUUUAUUGGGUUUAAAGGGUGCGUAGGCGGGCUUUUAAGUCAGCGGUAAAAUUGCGGGGCUCAACCCCGUCGAGCCGUUGAAACUGGUUUUCUUGAGUGGGCGAGAAGUAUGCGGAAUGCGUGGUGUAGCGGUGAAAUGCAUAGAUAUCACGCAGAACUCCGAUUGCGAAGGCAGCAUACCGGCGCCCAACUGACGCUGAGGCACGAAAGCGUGGGUAUCGAACAGGAUUAGAUACCCCGGUAGUCAAU